GUGAUACUGUACACAGGGUAAGAAAUGGGGUGGAGAAAAAAAAAAAGGCCUCUAUUUUUUUCUUUAAAACAAGGUACCAGUGUAGCCUGGCACAACCAAAGUAGCACCCGCCAACUUCUGACGUACCUGCAAGUCCUCGCACUUGGAGCCCUUAUCCGUGGAAAAUGCUUACGUGUGAGGAAGGGGUGCUGUACUACUGAGGCUUCCCUAAGAACUCAGUCAUCUGAAGGGAUGAUCCAGGGGCUUACGUGUUAAGUCGGCAUUAUAAAGCAAGAAGAUAUUCUGGAUAACACCCUCCUUGAGGAAUUGCUUUGUACUACCUGCAGCUGAAUGUUGAAAUUUCUCUUCUGGAAACCUUGACUUCUACAAGGGUCUCUCAUCUGUGGGUAUCUUCUAAAGUCAGUAUUCUCCAGGUGCUCCCAGACUGGAGCCCAGAGGGGCUAAAACCAGUUCACAGGUACCUGCCAGUUCCACAGCCUGAACCAAGGUCUGUCUGCCUAUUAACCAGUGCACAGCUUCUGCAUGCUUGGCAACUACAGCCUUUUUGAGAAGAUACCUUGAACUGCAGAAACUGCUUUGCCCAGAGGCGCUGAAAUCCAAAAGUCUGCCCAGGGCUGCCCACAGCCAAUGACUGACUACUGCAGCUCUCUCCAGACACCAUGUGGGAUCUACAGAUGCUUUUCUUUGCUCCUUUGAGUUUUCUUUGCUUCCACUGCCAGGGGUAAACAUGGACUGACUUUGGAACCACAUGAGCAACUGCUGGAUCCUAUAGUCACGUGGGUGGUACCCUAUGAACAGAUCUCUAUUGACCAACAACAAGCUGCUUUUCUAUAUAUGGGAGUUUCAAGGUGGAAAAACAGCAUCCUAUUUGGAAUACUGUGACACUAAGACCAGUGCGUGCAAAGACUGAUUAAAGAAGGUGUCAGCAUCAGUGCUCUGCUAUGCUCUAAGAGGCAGGUUUCCUGGUCGUACAUGGUCUUUAGUGAUUUGCAGAAAGAAUAUCAACUCGCUUCACUGCCAGUUGGUGCCUGUG